rnacentral:pre_miRNA from 1 species
AAAGUGGAGUGCAGCCAAGGGUGAUUUGCCGGCAACUAGUUCAGUUCUGUUGUUUCAUAUGUUUUCAGUUUCCGGCAAGUUUCUCUUGGCUACAUAUCGCUUUUU